rnacentral:miRNA from 1 species
GUCUACGCCGUACCACCCUGAACGCGCCCAAUCUCGUCUGAUCUUGGAAGCUAAGCAGGGUCGGGCCUGGUCAGUACUUGGAUG